rnacentral:misc_RNA from 1 species
CGCGCGCGCGCGCGUGCGCGCGGGGGGCCCGGCGGGGCGUGCGCGUCCGGCGCCGUCCGUCCGUCCGUUCGUCUUCCUUCCUCCCUCCCGGCCUCUCCCGCCGACCACGGGCGUGGGAGGGGGGGGGAGGGAGGGCGCGCGUCCCCGGUCGGCGCGCCCCGCUUCUUCGGUUCCCGCCUCCUCCCCGUUCACCGCCGGGGCGGCUCGUCCGCUCCGGGCCGGGACGGGGCCCGGGGAGCGCGUGGGUGGGAACCGCGGAGGCGGCCGCGCCGAGCCGGGCCCGUGGCCCGCCGGCCCCCGUCCCGGGGGGGGGGUUGGCCGCGCGGGCCCCGGUCACCUCGGGGUUCCGGCCCUCGCG